ACGGAUUAAGCUUGCUUUAAUUGUCAGCUAAGUGGCGCACGGGUGAGUAAUAUAUAGGUAACAUGCCUUCGAGAAGGGGAUAACGUUUGGAAACGGACGCUAAUACCCUAUAUGCCUUUAAGUCUUAAGACUGCAAGGGAAAUAUUUAUAGCUCGAAGAUUGGCCUGUACAGUAUCAGUUAGUUGGUGAGGUAAUGGCUCACCAAGACAAUGACGCUUAACUGGUUUGAGAGGAUGAUCAGUCACACUGGAACUGAGACACGGUCCAGACUUCUACGGGAGGCAGCAGUGGGGAAUAUUGCACAAUGGACGAAAGUCUGAUGCAGCAACGCCGCGUGGAGGAUGACACAUUUCGGUGCGUAAACUCCUUUUAUAUAGGAAGAUAAUGACGGUACUAUAUGAAUAAGCACCGGCUAACUCCGUGCCAGCAGCCGCGGUAAUACGGAGGGUGCAAGCGUUACUCGGAAUCACUGGGCGUAAAGAGAAUGUAGGCGGAUAGAUAAGUUUGAAGUGAAAUCCAAUGGCUCAACCAUUGAACUGCUUUGAAAACUGUUUAUCUAGAAUAUGGGAGAGGUAGAUGGUAUUUCUGGUGUAGGGGUAAAAUCCGUAGAGAUCA
rnacentral:rRNA from 1 species